CCAACAUCAGAAUAGUGGAUGAAGCCCACACUAAAAUGUAAGUGGUACAGUAAAUGGACCCCCCCCCCCUUUGACACUGAACAGUUGGGAGGAAAGGGGGGGGGGGGAGUGUGGCUUAUAGUUGUAUUGCUACAGAAUCUUUUGCCAUAAACCAGUGGCACAGCCUAUUGGCACUUGCUAUUCAGAAUCUUCCCCCUUACAUAGUUAAUUAAAAAGGAAAUGCUGUAGACAAGCUUAAUUUUUUGAAGGGGGGGGGGGCAACAUUUUCGUUGCCAUCAAAGCACAUCAAAGAUGCUGAGCUAACUUCCCCUAGUCAUUAGUGAAUGGUGGCUAGUAACUCUAAUAGGAACUUUACUACCAUUAGAAUCUAUGCAGAAAGUGUGCACUUCUGCUGUAUUUGCCAGUUUACUAGAAAUUGAAAUUGGCAUACUUGCUCAGUAACUACUUGGCCUCUUGUACCAUGUUACUCAACCAUAACAUCACACCACCCAUUCUUCUAAAAUAACACCCCAUAUGAUAAAAACUUCUGCUUUUAAUAAAUAUUUCAAACUUUAAUAUUAGUUGGCUUGCAAGGUGUGUUAAUCAUUCCCUUGGCAGAACUGUAGCAGGUCCAUAAAGAAAUUUAUAAUAAAGACCAAGUGUGGUCAUAAGUGCUGCAGAUGGGGGAGAUAGAGCCUUACACCUGCAGAAGUUUGGUGAUAACUGGAAAGGAUAUGGCCUUGUAUAGUUGCUAGUGUAAAUAUUACUAAAUUUAGUAAAAUCACAUUGUCUUGGUAGUAUAGUUGGGUUAAUUAUGAAUUUUCAGACUAAAAAGCUUGGUACAUAACUUUCAACAGAAUAAAUUUGUCCAUCUAGUAGUAAGCAGUGGUUGUAAAAGAAUAGAUUUGUAUAUAUAAAUUUUGUAUCGCUUUUAUUCAAAUGUUAUACAUAGUUUAAGUUUGUUUGCAAUGUUCCAGAAAAAUAACGUUCAUAACUAAAGUUGUUAAAAAAUAAAAUUUUUAUAAGAUGUUGACUUUAAAUGACUAUACCUUUGUUUGUAAAUAAUAGAUGGGACAAAGAUACUUAGUGCCAUUUAAAACGGCGACUGUUAAACUGGUGGUACAGGUAUGAACAAAAUAACAUUGCUAUGCAAAUAAGUUUUUAGUAACAUUUACUGUUCACAUGACAGGUUGUGGAAGGUCCUGGCAAGAAAGAGCUGCAGAAAAAUACUUGCAGAUCUAGAAAUGUGGUUUGGAAAGUCCAGAAGUCCCUCUGUCAGUUAAUUAACUGACAGAGUUAAUUGCUUCAACAGAAUCAGAUGAUCAUGCAUGGACUGGCUUGGAGUGAGGCUCCUUUACUCUGC